UUGCUCUUUUAAGACUCCUUAAAGCAUGCUCCACACCUCAUCCCUCUCAGAUUUUGGAAGGCAUUCAGCUCUUCUGAAAGAAUUUGAAGCCUACUAGAAGUUGUCAUUUUCUUAUUUUUGAAAACUUUCAAUUGAAGUUUGAUUAUCAACCUGAAGGAAAUGGGUCCCUCUGCUUUCAAUUGUAGUGAAGAAAAGAAGGGCAGACAAAUCUGUAAUGUGCAAAGAAUGGAUGCAAUCACUUCAUUGAUCAACCAUCUUUACAGAUCAAGCUAUACUCAGUCUGCCCUGAAGAUUUUAUUUUGUGAUCACUGUACAAGAAACUAAAAUGGUGAACAGGAAAUUGAAACUGUUAUUAUACAGGAAAUAACAGCACUCUGUCAAAAUCUACAGAAGAAACAUAUGUUCAAAGUUACUGUCAACAUCUAACAUAUCUGAUCAGAUACAGAGAAAGACCAAAAUUACAAGAGUCAUUAUAUUAUCAAUUCAGGACAAAGUUCUGUUUGAAAAUAAAUCCUUUCCAACUUUGUGAAAUCAGGGUUAACACAGAAUAUCUGAUGGAGCAUAUAUCCCAUAAUAAUUUCAUAUACCAGUUGAUCAGUAGGCAGAAAUUUCAAUUCCCCCCUCCCAACCCUCAUAAGCAGUCACAACUCUGAUAUCUAACACAUAUAAGUAAUUGUAUUUCCCUCUAGCUGUCUGUUAUCUGUACUUAAACAAACAGGUAAACUUCAUACUGGUUAGCACUAGGCAACAAAUAGGUGAAUAAGUACAUACAGCUCAGAUAUGGUACAGUUCUAUUAUUGUAUAUUUACACUUAUUUGUAACAUUGAAUAUGGUUUCUUUAAAGCUGUAUGAAACUUUCAUAACA